AGUACGGUCGCAAGAUUAAAACUCAAAGGAAUAGACGGGGACCCACACAAGCGGUGGAGCAUGUGGUUUAAUUCGACAAUAAACGGGGAACCUUACCAGGGCUUGACAUCUCCGGAAUCUCGAGGAAACUUGAGAGUGCCGUAAGGAACUGGAUGACAGGUGCUGCAUGGUCGUCGUCAGCUCGUGCCUUGAGGUGUUAGGUUAAGUCCGUAAACGAGCGCAACCCAUGUCUUAUGUUGCAUAUUUCAUAAGAGACUGCCGGCUCCAAGUCGGAGGAAGGUAUGGAUGACGUCAGAUCAGCAUGGCCCUUAUGCCCUGGGCCACACACGUGCUACAAUGGCCGGUACAAUGAGUAGCCAACCCGCAAGGGGGAGCCAAUCUCAUCAAAGCCGGUCCAAGUUCGGAUUGGGGGCUGAAAUUCGACCCCAUGAAGUUGGAAUCGCUAGUAACCGCAAAUCAGCUAUGUUGCGGUGAAUAUGUUCCUGGGUCUUGUACUCACCGCCCGUCACAUCAUGAAAGAUGGGGGUGCCCGAAGUCGCC
rnacentral:rRNA from 1 species